GAAGGAAAUCCUGUCCUUUGUGACAUCACAAAUGAGCCUGGAGGGCAUUGGGUAAGAUGAAAUGUCAAGCUUGAGAAAGCAGAUACUGCAGGACCUCAGGACCUCGGGACCUCAGGACAUGUGGAAUUUCAGGAAGUUGGGCUCAGAGAAGCAAGGAUAGAACGUGGCUCCCUGAGGCUAGAGAUGGGGAAUAACAGUGAGCUAUUCGUCAAAGAGCACAUUCCAGCUGGCCGGGACGAACAUUCAAGGGCUCUAUUGUACAACACGGUGGCAAUGGUUAGCUAACAAUGCAUUAUGGGAUAGUUCAUCUUGACUGCCAGUAUGAGAGGGGUUAGAAUCGCUAUAGAAACAGACCUCUGGGACUAUAAGGGCAUUUCCAGAAAGGUUUAACAAAGGAAAGAAGACUCACCAUGAAUGUGGGUGACACCAUCCAUGGGCUGGAGUCCAGGAUGAAUGAAAAGAAAAGAACAGAAUGCUUUCAAAUUCUGAGCAUGAGAAAUACCUACUAGCCAGUUCCCAAGCCCAGUGAUCAGAGUUCCCAGCUCCAGUGUUACUGUCCCAGCUUGUACCGGUUGUGCACUGGUGGGUUUCAAUUGCAUCUAAGCUGCAACACUGACAGAGAGGCCUAGAAAGAUGGGAUACUGGAGGUGUUAGCAAGCGACCAGCGGCAUCUGCAAGACACAGGUCAAGCGCUUCACUUAGCUCACUAUCUACAGUAUCUCAGCCAUUCCUAAGGACUUACAGCAAUCAAGUAAAAAACACUUGUCCAGGAGGAGAAGAAAACAGACCCCUUACCUCGGAGACCUCCAUAGGAGUGAGAUGUUAGUAAUCAAGAUGUGAAAAGAACAGUAGGGAAUCCUGCCAGAGAAGAGGACAGAAAAAUGAUUUUUCUAUCUUCUGAAAUCAAAAACCAGGAGAGACAGUAGGUGGGUGAUACAGGCUGAAAACACACCCGGCUGGUACCGGCUCAGUUGUCUGUGCCAGCAGAGAUGAGGCCAUCUCCUGCAGGGAAUGGGACUGAAGAUGCAUUAUUUCCAAAGGAUUAAAAUAGUACUUCCAGAAAUGAAAGAGUGGAUCAAGGACACAUGAGUGUGAAGACGGUCCCUCUGCUCCCUGUGCCCAUCACUUAACAUUAAAUCGUUCUUCUUUCCAAAACCAAGCCAGGCAGAGAAAAU